GCCGCUUUAGCUCAGAUGGAAGAGCAACUGGUUGAAGCCCAGUGCGCACCAGUUCGAAUCUGGUAGGUGGCAC
rnacentral:tRNA from 1 species